rfam:Salmo salar isolate Sally breed double haploid chromosome ssa19, whole genome shotgun sequence.
UGCAUUCACUACUAUAAGUCGCUCUGGAUAAGAGUGUCUGCUGAAUGACAGAAA